rnacentral:tRNA from 1 species
GGGCAGAUGGUGUAACGGUCAAACACUACCACUUUCGAUGUGGAGAUGAAUCGAUGAAGGUUCGAAUCCUUCUCUGCGCA